rnacentral:rRNA from 1 species
AGAGUUUGGAUCCUGGCUCAGAUUGAACGCUGGCGGCAUGCUUUACACAUGCAAGUCGAGCGGCAGCGCGGGGGCAACCCUGGCGGCGAGCGGCGAACGGGUGAGGAAUACAUCGGAACGUACCCCGGAGUGGGGGAUAACGCCGCGAAAGCGGCGCUAAUACCGCAUAUGCUCUGAGGAGGAAAGUGGGGGAUUCGCAAGGACCUCACGCUCUGGGAGCGGCCGAUGUCGGAUUAGCUAGUUGGUGGGGUAAUGGCUUACCAAGGCGACGAUCCGUAGCUGGUCUGAGAGGAUGAUCAGCCACACUGGGACUGAGACACGGCCCAGACUCCUACGGGAGGCAGCAGUGGGGAAUUUUGGACAAUGGGGGCAACCCUGAUCCAGCCAUGCCGCGUGCGGGAAGAAGGCCUUCGGGUUGUAAACCGCUUUUAGUCGGGAAGAAAAGGUUAUCCCUAAUAAGGGUGACUCUUGACGGUACCGGCGGAAUAAGCACCGGCUAACUACGUGCCAGCAGCCGCGGUAAUACGUAGGGUGCGAGCGUUAAUCGGAAUUACUGGGCGUAAAGCGUGCGCAGGCGGUUCGUUAAGUUCGUUGUGAAAGCCCCGGGCUCAACCUGGGAACUGCAAUGGAAACUGGCGGGCUUGAGUAUGGCAGAGGGGGGUGGAAUUCCGCGUGUAAGCAGUCGAAAUGCGUAGAGAUGCGGAGGAACACCGAUGGCGAAGGCAGCCCCCUGGGCCAAUACUGACGCUCAGGCACGGAAAGCGUGGGAGCAAACAGGGAUUAGAUACCCUGGUAGUCCACGCCCUAAAACGAUUGCGAACUGGAACGUUUGGGUGGACUUAGCCACUCAAG